UACGUAGGGGGCAAGCGUUGUCCGGAAUCAUUGGGCGUAAAGAGCGCGUAGGCGGUCCGGUAAGUCCGCUCUGAAAGUCCGGGGCUCAACCCCGGGAGGCCGGGCGGAUACUGUCGGGCUAGAGUCCGGAAGAGGCGGGUGGAAUUCCUGGUGUAGCGGUGAAAUGCGCAGAUAUCAGGAGGAACACCAAUGGCGAAGGCAGCUCGCUGGGACGGUACUGACGCUGAGGCGCGAAAGCGUGGGGAGCAAACAGG
rnacentral:rRNA from 1 species